AUAAAUUUGGCCGCAUUGCUCCGCGUGUAGUUUAUUCAAUGCUCUCGUCUGCUGGUGAAGAAGUGCUUUCAAGAUCGAAAUAAGAGGCUCAGAAAACUCCAAAGAAGCACAAAAUUCGAAGUCAAGGACAGGACUAAGGUAUUUAUUGCUAUUUUAUGUGAAAUAUUUUUACUUCAGCGAUUAAAAGUGUCGAAAUAACUUGUCGAAGUUGACGACCGCAAGUCGCUUCGCAUUUGGGCGUGUUUGCUAACGCAUUCGACUUUCGUCUCAUCCUCAGAGAAAAACGCUGAAUUUGAGCCUUGUUCAUUAUCAUUCGUUUAAAUUAUAGUAGAGAAAUACUUCGAUAAAGUAUUCAAGGUGUCUUAUAGCUAAAUUUGUUUUCAAAUUUGUCAUUUUAGUACAAACAAGACUGAAUGUUGAAUUCUCAAUCUCGUGACUCGUGGGACCAUGUGGCAUGUCUGCUGGUGAAGAAGUGCUUUCAAAAUUGAAAUAAGAAGCUCGGAAAACCCCAACGAAGCACACAAUUCGUCAACGACAGGACUAAGUCUAAGGUAUUUAUUGCUAUUUUAUAUAUGAAAUAUUUUUACUUCAGCGAUUAAAAGUGUCGAAAUAACUUGUCGAAGACUUUAACGACGGCAAGUCGCUUUGCAUUUCGCGUGCUUGCUGACACAGAGAAAAACGCCGAAUUAAGCCUUACUUCGAUAAAGUAUUCAAGAAUCAAGGUGUCUUGUAUUCAAGGUGUCUAAUUUGUUUUUUAAAUUUAUUUUAGUUCAAACAAGAAAUUAUGAAUUCUCAAUCUCGUGGGACCAUGUCAAGCAAAGUCUCUUUCUUGCUGGAAUUCAAAAGGAAAAACUAACUUGAUUUCUUCAAACCUCGAAGACUCGCCAGGCAACAAGUCCGACUCCAACAAGAGACAGACGAAACACGAGCUCAACCAAUGUGUGAUUUGAAAUCGAGCGUGGAUCAGUUUACGUCUCUCGUGUUCAAUGCAUAUGAUGGGGCUCGAAGAACAGUGACUCCUUUCUACCCUAUAGUCGUUCCGGUUGCUGUUAAAGACGUCGAACAAUUGUGGUUUAACAUCGCCGCCCCUCAGAGGAAGUAGAAACGUUAUUCAACACUCCAGAAAUGAAUACUUCACGAUGUGUGUCGCCGGCAAACCCAAUGUAUACCCCCACACUGCGGUAGGCAGUCAAGUUUUUAAAUCUACAUUUUUUUGUUUUUAUUGCCUAUUUUUUAUUUUAUUUUCAUAUAUCAUGACUCAUGACUUUUAUAGCUGGAAGGAGUUGAGAGAGCCCCACUCGACUGCAUGCCUUCUGAAUAAUGUUAAACUCUGUUUUACACGCUACCAUUUCGCCACUAGCACUGUCGCUGAGAAUUGUAUCGUAGCACAAGUUGAUCAUGAAAUUUGAAGGAACAACUGUUUCGUUUAGGGUACGCAUGGGCAGUGGCAUUGCAACUUUAUUAUUUUUCCAAGGUCUCUGUGAGACGUCCAGUCCUUCAGCAUGAGCAACAGUACAUGUAAAAAGAAAGGCG
rnacentral:lncRNA from 1 species